rnacentral:rRNA from 1 species
UACGAAGGGGGCUAGCGUUGUUCGGAAUCACUGGGCGUAAAGGGCGCGUAGGCGGCUUGAUAAGUCGGGGGUGAAAGCCUGUGGCUCAACCACAGAAUUGCCUUCGAUACUGUCUGGCUCGAGACCGGAAGAGGUAAGUGGAACUGCGAGUGUAGAGGUGAAAUUCGUAGAUAUUCGCAAGAACACCAGUGGCGAAGGCGGCUUACUGGUCCGGUACUGACGCUGAGGUGCGAAAGCGUGGGGAGCAAACAGG